AGAGGCAGAGAGACAGCGCAGCCUGGGGAUGUGCAGGUGUGAAGGUGCGUGUGCGCAGGAGUGACGCUGUACACACCGAUACAAAGAGCAAACAGAGAAAGGAGUCCAGGAGAAGAAAAGAAAAGCCUCCCUGGGUAAUCGUGGUCAUAAAAUGCACAUCAAUCAUUAUAUUCAGACUGGAGCAUCAAGGUCUGCCUUCAAGGUCACACACACCAUGAGCAUGUCCAUUUUGGAAAUAGUGUGAUAUAUUUCCAAUUUCCCUGCUCUCCUUUUUACAGGAAAGACCAUCCUGUGGCUACAACUCUCAAGACUUUUGCUUCAGCGAAACCAAAAUGGAACUGGUGAGAUUUCUUCAUCCCACAGGGGACUCUUUGACCAAUUUGGGGG